ACACUGGGUAGUUGAGUUAAUAGAGCAUCAAACUUUUAUUCUGAAGGGUCCAGGGUUCAAAUUCCUGCUCAGGUG